UACGAAGGGUGCAAGCGUUACUCGGAAUUACUGGGCGUAAAGCGUGCGUAGGUGGUUUGUUAAGUCUGUUGUGAAAGCCCCGGGCUCAACCUGGGAAUGGCAAUGGAUACUGGCAAGCUAGAGUGCGGUAGAGGGUAGUGGAAUUCCCGGUGUAGCGGUGAAAUUCGUAGAUAUCGAGAGGAACACCGGUGGCGAAGGCGGCCAACUGGACAGAUACUGACGCUGAGACACGAAAGCGUGGGGAGCAAACAGG
rnacentral:rRNA from 1 species